AGAGUUUGAUCCUGGCUCAGAGUGAACGCUGGCGGCAGGCCUAAUUCAUGCAAGUCGAACGGCAGCACAGCAGAGCUUGCUCUGUGGGUGGCGAGUGGCGGACGGGUGAGGAAUACGUGGGAAUCUGCCCAGUCGUGGGGGAUAACGUAGGGAAACUUACGCUAAUACCGCAUGCGCCCUUCGGGGGAAAGCCGGGGACCUUCGGGCCUGGCGCGAUUGGAUGAGCCCACGUCGGAUUAGCUAGUUGGCGGGGUAAAGGCCCACCAAGGCGACGAUCCGUAGCUGGUCUGAGAGGAUGAUCAGCCACACUGGAACUGAGACACGGUCCAGACUCCUACGGGAGGCAGCAGUAGGGAAUAUUGGACAAUGGGCGCAAGCCUGAUCCAGCCAUGCCGCGUGAGUGAAGAAGGCCCUCGGGUUGUAAAGCUCUUUUGUCCGGAAAGAAAAGCGCCGGGUUAAUACCCUGGUGUCCUGACGGUACCGGAAGAAUAAGCACCGGCUAACUUCGUG
rnacentral:rRNA from 1 species